rnacentral:rRNA from 1 species
AUUGAACGCUGGCGGAAUGCUUUACACAUGCAAGUCGAACGGCAGCACGGACUUCGGUCUGGUGGCGAGUGGCGAGCGGGUGAGUAAUAUAUCGGAACGUGCCCAGUCGUGGGGGAUAACAUAGUGAAAAUUACGCUAAUACCGCAUACGAUCUACGGAUGAAAGCGGGGGAUCGCAAGACCUCGCGCGAUUGGAGCGGCCGAUAUCAGAUUAGGUAGUUGGUGAGGUAAAGGCUCACCAAGCCGACGAUCUGUAGCUGGUCUGAGAGGACGACCAGCCACACUGGAACUGAGACACGGUCCAGACUCCUACGGGAGGCAGCAGUGGGGAAUUUUGGACAAUGGACGCAAGUCUGAUCCAGCCAUUCCGCGUGCAGGACGAAGGCCUUCGGGUUGUAAACUGCUUUUGUACAGAACGAAAAGGUCUCUAUUAAUACUAGGGGCUCAUGACGGUACUGUAAGAAUAAGCACCGGCUAACUACGUGCCAGCCGCCGCCGUAA